CCCGCCGGCGACCGGCGCACGGGUGAGUAACACGUAUGAAACCUGCCCGUAGCAGGGGGAUAAGCGGAAGAAAUUCCGUCUAAUACCGCGUAACAACCCAUGGAGGCAUCUCUGUGGGGUUUAAAGGAAGCGAUUCCGGCUACGGAUGGUCAUGCGUCGCAUUAGCUUGUUGGCGGGGUAACGGCCCACCAAGGCGACGAUGCGUAGGGGUUCUGAGAGGAAGGUCCCCCACACUGGUACUGAGACACGGACCAGACUCCUACGGAAGGCAGCAG
rnacentral:rRNA from 1 species